ensembl:snRNA U6 U6 spliceosomal RNA
GUGCUUGAUUUGGCAGCACAUAUAUUAAAAUUGGAACAAUACUGAGAAGAUUAGCAUGACCUAUAUGCAAGGAUGACACAAAAAUUCAUGAAGGGCUCCAUUUUUAA